rnacentral:lncRNA from 1 species
CAUGGGGCUCCCUGCAUGGAGCCUGCUUCUCCUCUGUGUGUGUCUCUCAUGAAUAAAUAAAUAAGAUCUUAAAAAAAAACAAAACAAGAAAAAAACAUGAAGUGAGAGCCGCGAACACACCCAGCAGUCUGCAGGGAGAGGCAGGGCCACGGCUUCCCUGUCCACAGAGGUGCUCCCCUUGGGGCCUGGGAUCCCGAGUGUGCACCUGCCCACGGACACUUGUGUGUGUCGCCUCUGUGCACUCGUGCACACCUGCCCUGUAUGCAUGCUUGUGCGCACAUGCACACAUGUCCCGUGGGUAGAAAUAUGCUCAGGACAGCGACCCAGCCCUGCUUCAGAGCUCGGUGCCAGGACUGGCCGCAGCCUGGUUUUCACAGUGGAGCGGCCCUGACCUGUGGGUCCCCCCUGAAGCCAAGCCCAUGUUUCUGAGUAUGCCGUGGGCCUGUGCACGCGAGGCUCCGUGUGCUCAGGGCGUGCAGGGCGUGGUCAGCCGGGGCACGUGCGUGUUGGUCACCUGUGCUCCUCCCACCGGGAACAGUGUGGUCGGCCCAAGGCAGUCUGGUGGACUCGUUCAGGGCUUGACCUGCUGGAUCGUGCAUCUACGAUUUAUUUAUUGGGCACUUGCUGCGUCCUGGGCUGGCCUGGGCUUGGGGAGGCUGUGCCUCGUCUUCAAGAAACUGCUCUGCUGGGGAAAGGAAGGAGGGAGGGGGGAUGGGGUAGGUGGGGCACGGACGGGAACGUACAGCAAGCGUCGUGGACACGGAUGCCUCAGUGAGGCCUGGGGUGGGGGCGUCCAGGCCUCCCCAGCGUCCGUCUGUGCAGCUCGCAGGAUAGACUGACACAGCGACAGCAACGUUUCCUGAAUCCCUGAGGAUAUGCACACCUGUGGCAGAGGGGCCGCCCAAGCAGGUGCCUUUGGGAAGACAGAGCCAUCCGAUAGUGACCUCCCCUGGCCUGGCCUGCACCUGUGCGCACCUGCUGCAAGCAGGGCCAUGUGAGUUGGCGGUGUUCAGCAUCUUGCUGGUGGAGGGGCAGGCUGAACCCAAGAAGCUUUGUAAAAAAUUCUCUGGGAUGGAAUUUGGAGGUGGAAAGAUCACAUGCAGAUUCAUGUGGUGGAUGGAAACAAGUGACCGGUUCCCAUUAUUUUCAGCAGGUAAGUAGAGGCUAAAGCAGCAGCAAUAGUAACAACACACAGCCCAGACCCUGCUGACAUGUCCUUCCUGUCCUCAAGAGCUUGACAUUUUUUAGGUUGUCCUCCAGGGUUGCUGCCUGGUUGGAAAGAUGCCCUAUAUCAACUAUCAACUCUACAGCCAGCCUAGACCACCGGAAACCUGAGCCCCGGGGGCGAGGCUGGAACCAAGACGUCUCCAAUCCUUGAUGAUGAUGAUCCACUCACCCUGUGGGUCCCUUGUGGUGCUGGUGUACCCAGGUACCUCGUCUUGUUCUUGGGACGUCUGGGAGCUUUGAGCAGCGUCAACUGGGGAUAUGUUUUAGGAUCUGUGUCUUUGAAGGUUUUGCUUCCUUUACAUACAACACAUCUUUCCCCGUUCCUCAUUUCCUGGGGAACGCGCUAGUCCUUUCCCAGCACUGGGCAUUGAGAAGAGAACAACGAGGAGCUGGAAGAAAAGACCUGGCAAAGUCUUCUUUGGGUCAGUUCUGAAGCUGUGCUGUUCUGGGCAUUGCCCUGGGAUUGCAUAAUCCACCCCAGUGCUGACGAAGUCUCACCUGGCACCACUUCAGGUUAAAUAAACUUGGCCCAGGACGUCCAGCUUCCAGAGAAAUUUUGUUUCACUAGUCUUCCUGCUGCUGAACUUCAGACAAAAUUGAAACAAUAAUUAUUUGAAGGCACUGGGAAGUGACCUGAAGCAGAUGAAAAAAACCCUCAAGGUACAUGAGCUUUGAGAGGAGUUUGAAAGAAAGCUUUUCUCCUGAGGGCUCCCUCCAGACCUCACAGUGGGAUGAGCUCUAACAGAAGGCCACAGUAUUGGGCAGAGAGGUCAGAGGCUAGAAUUCCACAUUUGCCAGAUGCCUGGAAAUCUAGGAAGAGAUCUCCAGAAAAGCCCCAUAGGGAGAAACCCCUUAACUUGGGCACAAUAUCUGCUCCAGUCUUUGGGGGAUCCCCGAGGUGUGCAUGUGCAGAGCAAGGCACCAUAAAGCCUAGGAAGAAACAGCAGCUGGAUGGGGGAAGAGCUUGCGGAGAGUCCGGCAUCUGGCUGGUGCUGGGAAGACCAGGUUUGGAGUCAUGUCUCCCCAGGGCAGAGGACCUUCUAAGUGCUGGAAUAAAAUGACUUCAUUAUGCAGCCAGAAGAUAGAAAAAUACUCUAUUUGAACUGCUUGAGAAAACUAUUAACCUAGAGCCCUAUACCCAGCUAAACUGUCUUUCAAGAAUGGUGGCAAAAUAAAGACACUUCAGAUACACGCAAACCAUGAGAUUACUAACAAGACUCUCAUGGAAAGAUUCUACUUGGUGGUUUCAAAAAAGAUAUAAGAUGUUGGUCAGAAGGGAUUGAAGUGGACCAGGUUUCUGUGCUACUCAGGAGCAGGGGAGAGGGGGUACAUGCUAAAAUUUAAAAAAAGGUAACUCAAAAUAGAUGGAAUAAAGGAUAGAUUUGUAAAAACCUUUUACUAGAUUUUUACAAGAUUUUUUUUAGAUUUUAAUUUAUUUAUUCAGAGAGACACAGAGAGAGGGAGAGGCAGAGACACAGGCAGAGGGAGAAGCAGGCUCCUUGCAGGGAGCCCGAUGUGGGACUUGAUCCCAGGACCCUGGGAUCAGGUCCUGAGCCAAAGGCAGAUAGAUGCUCAACCGCUGAGCCACCCAGGCACCCCUGAUUUAACAAAACUUUUAACCCCAAAAUGACACAGCAGAGAGUCAGAGAAUAAAGGCACAGAUUAAGAGGACAAAUAAAUCAGAAACAUGAUAGCUCUGAAUUGGCCCAACCCUGCAAUCUCAUGGGGAUCCAGGGCAAAGACCACCCCCCAGUGGGGGGAUGAGGUCUCUCAAGCUGUCGCUGAUAUUGCCCACCAAUGGUCCCCUGCAGGGGUACAUUUUGGGUGGGGAGUGAGGGUUUUGGAGGCAUGUUUUGCCUGCAGAGGGGAGGGUGGGGGGAACUGGAUUUGGAGAUGGAGACGUGCUCAAGGCGCUCUUGCUGGCACAACUGGGUGAUCACCGCCGUGGAAGGCAGACAGAGCUCACAUCAGAUUCCCUCUAAGCACCCAGGCCUUCAGAGAGAUCCCAUUGCAGGUUUUCUAGAUUCCUCCAGACAUUUCCAUCCCUGAGGGGAACUGAGGGAAAGGUCCAUGCCCUCAGGUGGUACAGAGGGUGCAGGAGAAAAGCAGAGGCUGACACUGAGGUGCUCACAGGGGACCUGCACAAGCAGACAGCAGCAUCCCAGGCCACGUGGGCCAAAGGGCUCACCACCCAAGGGCCCAGCCACCCUUGGAGCCACUUUGUGGGGGAGCAAGCCUUUUCCAAGGGCCGGGAGAGCUUCUGUAAAUGGGUAGGCCCAGGAUUUGGGGAUUUGGGCAUCAGAGGGCAGACGGUCUUGCAGGCUGGUGACGUCUGGGACACUUGGGUCCAGGAAUGUGGGAAGUCAUCAUUUGGUCUGUCCUGUGUCCUGAUGUGGCACUGUGUCCCCAGCACUCCCCAUCUCAAUAUUUACCCCAUGGAGAGGUGAUUGUGUGGUUUUGGAUCUCAGCCCUUGUGCUCUGGUUAUGGGUUCAGGGCUGGCACCCUAAGCCAGGACCUGGCGUGUCCCUGCAUUAAGCCUGGAUCAGGACCAGGUAAUCAGUCCAGGCCUGUGAGCUGCAGUGAGAGGUGUCCCGGGCUUCUUCUCGCCCUUGAAGGGCACGUCCAGAGGUGACCUUCUCCUUCCUCUUUAGACAUCAGCACCUACAGCCUGGCUCAUGGCAGCUGCCUGGUUCUCAGUGCGAG